AUCAGAUUUUUUUUUUUUUUUUUUAGGAAAAGCUUUCUAAAAGCUCUGUGGAUGUAUUAUUUUUUAAAUAUAACAAUGUUAGCAAUAUAACGUUUGAAUUAGCAACUAGCUGGUGAAAAUAGUGGAGCAUUUGGCUGCUGAAAAGACAGAUAUUUCUCCCAGGAGUUGGUGGAGACCAAAAACAAAGCAUAUCUGCUGGAUGUGUAAAGGCAAUUUUUUGCUAACACGUUAGCCAUAUUAACUUCAAAUCAGUAUGCAGGUUUAACAUUCAGUUAUAAAAAAAACAUACUGUCAUUGCUAUUGCUACUACUUCUAGUAGCCUACUUCUGUCCCUACUACUAUAGCUAAUGCUACAACAGCAAUCACUACUACUAUUUUUACUCAUGUCAAACGAAAACCACACUUACAGCCUGGAUUUUAUUUUUGUAACUCCGGCCAUCAGUUCUAUCUAUUAUUUUACUAUUGUACUCAAAAUGCACAACCUGUAUGAUUGUCUGACCGCUCAUGUUUAUUGGACCUAUUUUUAGCCAUGUAGCCGCGUCUUGAGAUCUCAGCAUUCACUUUGGUGAGUGCAACUGAUGGCCAGAGCUACGAAAAAACCCAUAAUAAGUCAUAAUAAAUCAAAGUUUUCCUUUAAAAAGAAGAAACAGAAUAAGACUGUGUUGUGUAUUUUUCUGUUUCCUUUGUUUCAAGCUUCCUGCCCUUCAUCCAUCCACCAUUAAAUUCAUAGAUCAACCCACACAGGGUCCUGUGUGACUGCUGAGAAAUCACAUCACCUCAGCAAAGACAUUGGUUGCUGGGUCAAUUCCACACUGCUGAAGUGAUCACGGAGCUGGAGCUAAGCAGCGAAACAAUGCAUAGGAUCUGGGACUGCAGGAAUGCAUUGUGUGAGAACAUGUACUCAUAUAAAGGGACUUUCCAGCCUGCUCCUUGUGGUCCUAUCACACUGAGAAAGACAUUUUCAGACAAACAGCCCUAAUUACAUAAAAUGACAAUAAAUGAAUUAAUGUUUGCCAUUUCUUCCAAAGUAAAUAGUGAUUUACUGCACCUCUAACCCUGACUGUUUUGUACACAAAAUGCCCAAAACUGCCAAACCUACCACAUAGGUAAUGUCACAUAUUACUUAGCUUUAUGACUCAACACUGACUUAUAAAUAUUUCUUCAACAAAUUACGGACAAAAUGUCACAAUAUAAAAUUAUGGAAAAUACUGAUAUGCUUCUGAUAAACAGGUCAGUGUUUGGUGCCAAUUAAACUGUAAAAACUGCUCUCAUAAAGGUUUAUCUUUCUUCAUAAUGUGUGUUUUUCCAUUUAUUUUCUCAUGUCAAACCAUUUCCUCAAAGUAAAGACAAAGUGAAGUCAUUUAGCGGACUGCUUGUGCAGGGUGCAGUAUCUCUGUUGAAUUAUCAGCCGAUUAGAUCGUGCCUGGUAUGUUGUUGGCUUUGGUGUGGCUCGGGGGAAUUCCUGCAUCCAUUUACACAACUCUUCUUCUGUAAUAUUCUCUGUGCUGGAAUUUUUCCUUCCUCCCUUUAUGUGCUCAUUUAUCUUUUAUUUGCUUUUACCCGCUUUCCUCUUGUGUAAUAUUUACGGUGAACUAAUUUCCUCUCACCCUGAUAAUGGCUCUGGACCCCCGGGUCAUCAUUACAGGUUAUUACAGCCAUUUGUUUCACCUUCAGUUUCACGUUAGGCAAAGUUGAUCAUGUUGCUGCCUUAUUUGCUGCACCAACAAUCUGAUGUAACUUACUGUAACUCAUAUGAGUGACGAUCAGCUGCUGUGGAGUUAUUAAGUGGCACCUUGACCAGAGUUUCUGUCUUUCUUCUCAUUUAAUCAGCCACUACAACUAACACUGCUCAUGCCAGCUACGCAUUUCUUGUUCUGUUUAUUCCAAACAAACUGCUGUUGCUGCUACCAGAAAUGUAAAGCACACCUCUUCAGGUGCACCUGAUGACCAGCGUGAGUAAAAAAUAUAAAAGCUUCUGAUUGUAUCACAGUUGUACUAUUUAUAAUAAACACAGAGUAUGAAAAAUCUCA